AGUGAACGCUGGCGGUAGGCCUAACACAUGCAAGUCGAACGGCAGCACAGUAAGAGCUUGCUCUUACGGGUGGCGAGUGGCGGACGGGUGAGGAAUACAUCGGAAUCUACUUUUUCGUGGGGGAUAACGUAGGGAAACUUACGCUAAUACCGCAUACGACCUACGGGUGAAAUCAGGGGAUCUUCGGACCUUGCGCGAUUGAAUUAGCCGAUGUCGGAUUAGCUAGUUGGCGGGGUAAAGGCCCACCAAGGCGACGAACCGUAGCUGGUCUGAGAGGAUGAUCAGCCACACUGGAACUGAGACACGGUCCAGACUCCUACGGGAGGCAGCAGUGGGGAAUAUUGGACAAGGGGCGCAAGCCUGAUCCAGCCAUACCGCGUGGGUGAAGAAGGCCUUCGGGUUGUAAAGCCCUUUUGUUGGGAAAGAAAAGCAGCAGGUUAAUACCCCGCUGUUCUGACGGUACCCAAAGAAUAAGCACCGGCUAACUUCGU
rnacentral:rRNA from 1 species